rnacentral:rRNA from 1 species
GUACGCGACGCUCAUUAAAUCAGCUAUGGUUCCUUAGAUGGUACGUACGGUUACUUGGAUAACUGUGGCAAUUCUAGAGCUAAUACAUGCAAACCGAGUUCCGACCGCCCCUAAAAAGGCGGAAGGAAUGCUUUUAUUAGAUCAAAACCAAUCGGGUUCGACGGUUUCGCGGAUCGUCCGCGUCCGUCUUCCCGUCACGUCUUGGCGACUCUGAAUAACUUUGUGCUGAUCGCACGGUCCCGCACCGGCGACGCAUCUUUCAAAUGUCUGACUUAUCAACUUUCGAUGGUAGGCUCUGCGCCUACCAUGGUCGUAACGGGUAACGGGGAAUCAGGGUUCGAUUCCGGAGAGGGAGCCUGAGAAACGGCUACCACAUCCAAGGAAGGCAGCAGGCGCGCAAAUUACCCCCUCCCCGGAAAA